GUUCUCUGUUGUCAGGGGAUUGGCUACCAAUCUACCCCAUAAAAAGAGCUCUUUCUGCCUGCUCUAGGGAGCUUUUUGUUUCAAGUGGGUCUUGAUCAUUGAAGACUAGUUCUGGAUUGUGUAGUUCUCAGCCAUGAGUCACUUCCACUACUGCCCAAAUGAGGUACAGUUUCCCGAAGCUGGAGAUCUUACCCCUUCGAGUCUUUGGGCGCAAGCUGCCCGAAUUCUCUUGGAAUGUGAGGGUCAAGAAACCCACAACAGCCUUCCAGAGGGGAUGCCGGAGGACUUGGACUCGAUGGAUCUCUCAAUCUUGCCAGUUCUUGAUAUCUCUGAAGUGCAACAUCUUCUCGGUGAGGAGGAAGAGGAUGUUGCCAGCUUGACCAGCCCACAGAAUACAGUUCCUCUACCAUCCGUGCAACCCAGGCCUGUUUCGCUCUUUGCCUCUAGCAGUGAAAGCCAGCAUGGCAGUGAUGGAGGCCUGAUGGCACACUAUUUGUUGGCUGAUCUGAGUCAGGCUGCCAUCCUUGGACACACAAGUGGCCCAGCUCUGAUCCCAGGCCCACAUGAAUCUGCAGCUGAGGAGUCUGAGCUCUUGUCUGCUGAAGUGGGACACAUGCUUCAUGAGGAGGGAGAGAGACAUUCUGCUUGACUAGUCCACAGGAUAUGGUCCCUGUACCCUACACAACUCAAAACUGCUUCAUUCUCUGCCUCCAGCAUUGAGCCAUCAGGGCCAUAAUGAAGGCUCAGUGCUGUGGUAUCUUUUGGCUAGGCCCUAUAAUGCUACUGUCCUUGGACACCAAAGUGGCCACAUUCUGCUCCCAAAUAUAUAUACUUCUGCCCCUGAGUAGGUGACUCUCCCACAGCUUGCAGCCAAAGGAAUGGAAAAUCAGGUCAGAUGUGUGGCAACACUUGAGGCUCCUUCAGAUAUUAGCCCAAAGGCUCGCCAUACCAUAAGUGGCGGGGUGAAGGGGGUGGAAGUCCCCACCACCACCACCACAUCAGUCAUCCCCAUGCCCCAUUGCUCACAGGGAUCAAUCCAUCCUUGCAAUCACAGAUCUGUCCAUCAUGGAGAGGGCUGUGUCCUCUUCAGAGGAGUUACAUCAGACCUGUGAGUGAUGGGGCAGAACUUCCUCCCACUUUGCCCUGCCAUUUACUGGCAUGGUGAGCCUUCAGACUAGGGUCUGACGGACCUAUUGUCAUGCACAGGGCAGAAAAUUUUCUUGUGGCUGUGGGCAACAGAGGCUGCAGAAAGGUCAGGCUUGCCAGGGGAGGUGUCUGCAGGAGGCUGACAUCCAUCAUUCACUGCCAUUUCUUCUCAAACAAGCACUCGGUGCUUAUCUGAAGAACCCUAACCUCGGCCUUAUUUACAACUGGAGACUGAUGCAGGAAGCCAUAUGGAGAUUACCUAGCUAUGAUUGGGAAGAAAACUUCUGCCCUAAGUCAAAUUCUUGAUGUGUGCUGGUCACUUGAAAGCCUUCUAAAUAUCUCCAACUCAUGCAGGAACAGGAAGAUGCUGUGCUGGUCACUUUGCCUCUGAACUGCUGAAGUCUCUGGGAAACAGCAGGGCCCAAGAAUAGUAUGAGAAGAGAUUUAAUACCAGAAUGCAACCUCCCUACAUCCAUGCUUUAGGGACCAUCUUUGCAAAUAUCUGAAGGGAGCAAUUGAAGAAGUGGGUGAUAUAACAGUCUUGGAAGGAAUACUUGAAAAACUAGUGAUCAUGCAGUUUCCUCUUCCUUUGAAACAAUAGACCAGGCCUGCUCAACCUUGCCCCCCCCCCAGCUGUUUUUGGACUACAGUUCCCAUAAUCCCCAGCCGCAGUGGCCAAUAGCCAGGGAUUAUGGGAGUUGUAGGCCAACAUCUGCAGGAGGGCCAAAGUUGAGCAGCCCUGCAAUAGACCAAUCCAAGUAUUCCCAAGCAACUGAGAAGAAAAGAACUGAUAUCUUAUCUGUAGGACAAUAUUGGACCUUAAUCAUCUGGACUCCGACCUCAUGGGCAACUGGCAGGCAAAACAGCACAUAUGGCUGUCACACUCUGCAGUGGCACUCCAGUACUUCUAAUGUCUUCCCACCACUAUGUAUUCAAGGAAGGCUUGGAGUGUUGGAGGCUUGAUCAGAUCAUGCAGACUUCAAGAGAGGCUUUCACUCAUCAGCCUGAACAGAGACUGGUUAGCUGUGGAAUUCAGGGUCCUCGCUACUACCCCAGAGACACUAGAAAUCAAUCCAUGUAGCACACAGAAGGAAAGGCAAUUCCUUUUGGUGACUGGGAACCAUUCUUGGAGGACUGAGAGCUGGAAGGACAUGACAUGAUAGGACCUUUUAUUCGUGAGACUCAGCAAUGUGGUGCUAACAACAGAACUGUCUACGCUGUUGCGUCUUUAAACUUCUUUGUAUGAAACGGAAGCGGGCUUCUGUAUUUAAAAUGUACACCAGUUCAACUUUUACAGGUUUUCCCCCACAAGGGUGGAACAUGAAAAUGCAGUGGUGGCAUAAUAUCUGCUUUUAAUGGAUCUGUUCAACUUAAAUAAAGAUUAUUGAAAGAGCAA